CGGGGAGCUUUACGGUUCUGAGUCCUGGUUAAAACAGAAGAAUAAGGUUGCACACCGGUGGUAGGCAGCAGCAGCAGUCAGUAAAUCCUUUUUUGGGGGUGAAUCGGUUAUUCCUCCAGCGGCACUACUCACAACACACGCGACUACCUGGUCCGAACGAACACGAGCGAAUGAGCGGACGAGACUUUUGACUUUGGUUGGAAAGUGACGCCUCGCAGCGAGCUAACGGCUCUUCCAGUGAGUGCCACCACCGACCACAUUCAGAUUCAGUUCAGCCUGCGAGUGAGAGAGCGAGAGCCUUUUGAAAGCUCUCACUCUUCUUCACGCACUGGCUGGCCUCUGGCGGCUGACUCAUGUUUUUGCUUCGGCUUCCUUGGCUGGAAAAGCUCUCCGUCGGUUGGUUCGCUCUCUCGCCCUCUCGCAAAAUGGACCAAUCGCGUGAACAUGACCAUAUAAGGCAAUGUUUGAAAAAUGCUUAAUUUCCACGUAAAGUCAUAGCGGUACCCCACCCGUUCGCCCCUGACAGCCAGCGCAGCACCCGCAAAACCACCUCAACCAAACCCAACCCACUGUGCCAACGAUGGGUGAGGUGCGCUGCUUUCGAGCCGGCGUUUCUUCACGUGAACUUGUGUGUUCGUCAUCAGCAGCCAGCCAUAUCAGAGCGGGCUCGCGAAUGACUGGUGGGUGGGUGGCAGGCGGGUGAGUGGGACGAUGAGUGUGCGAACUUGAAAAAAAGCAUAGCGACGCGUCAUUCGAGAGCUUUGCUAGGGUGGUUCUCGUGGGAUUAGAUUUUCGAAAAAAAAUGCUGUUAAACGUCAUUGUAAACCAGAAUUUUUUUUACAUUCAAAUGAGCUGAAAAAUGAACGCAGCUUCUUAAACUUUUUGUUCGUAGCAAAGCAGCAGUGGCUGUACAUUGCAGAAUUUUUCAUCGUAGGAAAGUUCUCUAAAUCACGAAUAGUCAAUUUGAACGGUCUGUAAAAUAUGUCCUAUAGCAAGGAUCGUAAACCGUGGAUAAAACUCAUGCAAUUUAUGAUUUGUUGAUUCAAAUUAUUUACUUUCCAUCUUGAAAAUUGAAAUGCAUUUCACAUGCUAAAUCAGCACUGUUGUGCGGCCGAUUUUCCUUGACAAUUUCAACAGGCAAGUGUAAUUUAACUGUACCUUGUUUUAGUGAGAGAACUUUCCGGUAAACUGCAUUUCAGUUAAAUGCCCUUUGCUUAGCGGCUAUUGAAUGUAUUCAAGCUUAAACAUUUGCCACGAAAAUUUCAACAAAUUGAAAUCUCCCAAAAAAGGAUUCCCCCAAGCUAUUAAGUGAAUCCAUUUUGCAAGCAAAAUAUACUUUCAAGUUAUUGUUUUUGGGCAUUGCCGCUCCAUUUAAAUCCAGGCUAAACAAUCGUUGUUUAAAAACAACAACUUAGCGGCCGAAUAGCACCUUCACAGGUAAACAAAGCUCCAAAAAAAUCAGCUGUCCAUUUCAACCUUGAAACGAGUGAAACAGACCUUCAGCACACGAGGCGCCUGCACACAUGCACACGUGGCACACAUCGGUGCCGAAGUGUCUACGUGUGCUGUACAUGUCGACCGAUUUGUUUACAAACAUAACAAGUUGUUGCGAUCAGAUUGCACGCCAUCCAACUUUGGAAAGCAGCGGCCUCGAAUAAGAAUGUGAAGAAGACUUUCCAAAAGUUGGGAAGAGACUUUGCCAAAGUUAGCAGUUACAGAUGACUGAGCUGGACUAACUUUAUCUCUUUCUUCGGCAAAUUAUGGAUUUGUCUCUACUGCGCUUCGGAAGGUCUUUAUAUGGGCAUAAUAAAGUUAUUGAACUUUUUUUCCAACCCAGAUCAUCUUGGAUACUUGGUUUAGUUUUAUUAUUUCUUUGUGGAUCAAACCGAAACAAGAAUUCAAAAGCCAGCUUCGGUUUGAAGUCACUUUUCAGUGAAUUUUUUUUUAUUGUGAAAUUAACAGAAUUGAUUUCGAUCCCGAACAACUCAAGUAACCAACAGGCCCACUAAUCGCUUGUACUGAUAUAAGGCUGAUAUAAAGUUUGGAAGCCAUCAUUAUCUGAAAAAGGUUUGGAAUUUAGCUUAGAGCAGCUUUUUAAAAAAAACUCCUUUUUUAUAUUUCCUCACAAAUCAUUGCACGAUUUCUAACCAAAUUUGAAACUUUGGUCCAAAUUUGAGCCACAAAUAUGUGUUACAACGGAAUGAAUUUAUGAAAAAAAUUACUGUUUCACCCAUUGAUUUCGAAUAUUUACACCAGUAGUUGAUAAAUGGUGUAUCUUGCUCACCAUUGGCAAACUAUUUGUUGAAAUAGUCACCCAGCUUCAACCAAGGUUAAUGAAAGAUUUAACUUUCACAUAUUUAAUCGAAACGGAAAAAGGAUUUCGUACCAAAGGCAAACUUCACCUCCUUAGUAGUUAUAUUCGGUACACAUAAAAGUUUAUCUUAAAGCAUGAAGCAUCUAGUUAUUCCGCUAUAAUUAAUCUUGAAUUUGAUGUAUAUUAUCAACCAACUUUAAGGAUCCCAAAGGAACCAAAUUUGUUUCCAAAAAACUGUUUGUAUUACAGCUAACGAAACGAUAACAUCACUUAAGCGUAAUGAUUCAGUUAAAACUUCUGUUCAGCUUGAAAUGUUUGUGAACAUUCCAAACGAAAAUCGUCUCAUUUUGAUGAAUUCCAAGUUAAUAAAGAAAAACUAAAUUAACUGAACAACUUCGCAAACUCGCAGAAACCGAUCUCCCAAGCGAAAAUUCUUGGGAAGGAAUUUUCCUGCAUCCCCCAAACUAAAUCCAGCCACGUCGAUGCUUUAGGAAACACCGUGAGAAAGCUCCAAAUUAGUCGCUGCAGUAGCUUUCCCAUAGCCUAUGCUACUAUACGCUCGGUCGGGUGAGGUGCAACUUUCUCGUUCCAUCAAUGUAAUUGCUGGUACAGAAAAGUCGCACACUCUCUUUUCACUGGCGCUGCAAGCCCGUCUCGAGUGCGUGCAGCAUGCACCGCAGAGAGUACGGUGAAACCAUCGAAAUUUAGAGUCACCCCAAUGUCGUGGCACUUCCGCCACCCCAGCAAUAUCACCAUUGACUGGGAGAACCUCGGUCUGCUGCAUUCCACGGCUCGCUCACAGCCUCCGCAUUUCCCGUGGCAGAGCGCGAUGAUUCCAUCAGGAGACUUGUUUUCCACUCUGCUCUAACGGGGAGCUGCGGACAUUGCGGAGGCAGGCAGCAGCGAUUGAUACCGCCUCUGCCCCUGGCUGGUUUGAGCUAUUUCCCGCACAACGAACGGUUGGAGACAAAUUGAUUUUUGUUUGUUUGUCUGUUCACCAAGGGUCGGUUCUUAGGAAACUGCCACUCGAGAAUUCGAGACACCGAAACAACCGCUGAGAAGUGGCUGUGUAGGUCGAAAGUUAUUGAACACAUUCCAGGAUUGUCACUGCUGCUGCUGGUGCCGCUGCCGCUGUUGAUACAACUGCUAUUUUCCCCAUUUGGUUUUGCACAAUUCUUGGGAAGCGAUAAUUUAAUCGCUUUAAUCCAAUUUUCCCAGUUGAAAUCACUUGUUUUAUUUUCUUCCGAUGAGCUAUCGGUUUUUGGUUACAACGUCCUUAUGAUUUUUUUUUUUGCAUCACAAAAUCACUAGUUUACUGUCCAUUUAAGCACAAAACGUCCUUUUUAGUCCUUUUUGGAUGGCACUUGUCGAACAAUUCUUGUUUUUUUUUUCGUUAGCACUUGUUUAAACUCUCUCUCGGAUGAUUUUCUUAUAGGAUUUGUGGGAACUUUGUUACUUACAUUUGGUUUAUUAAAUAUAAAAAAUCCUAAAUUACAAAUAAAUUAAUUGUGUGUGUAUUUCUGCGUGUGGUUUGCUCCUUCAAGGAAGAGACA